CUCCCUUUUCUCUCUCUUCCUCUUUCGUGAAAACCUUAGAACCGCCUUGUUCUCUCUUCUCUCUCCGCCAAAAAUGGCAAAAAUACAAAGUUUAGCAGAGAAGCACAACUUUUGCAUGUCUAUUGUAGUGAAACACUUAAUGUUUCACUUGAUUUCACAAAAAUAUAAACCAAACACGGAGUUUGGAAGUACAAAGGCUCGAAGUUCAACUCUUGACAAAGGCUGCGCAACAAAAAGACUAGCGAGCUUGGACAAUUAAGCGUAGCUAAUAGGACGUGGAGCAGGUAGACAAGGAGACGGUCCAGAUCCCUAGGAGCAUUAUCAGCGGAUACAUAAGAGCACUCCACUUCUCCGGAGUUGCCGUUUAUUGGUAUAUUCUUGUAUGCACAUAUUUGGGGCAUGGCGGGGUCCUGUCCCGUCCUUAUGAUUUUAGUAUUCCUAUUAGAGGCUCGUAGAAACAUAUGUGGGUAGUAGACAUCUUAUGAUUUCUUUAGUGUACGUUUGGUAUAUUAUCAUGUAACCUCAUGGGCUUGUACAUAGACGUAUAUUUUGAGGAGUAA